ensembl:lincRNA
GGGGGAGUGUGGGACCCUGAGAAGAAUUUGCGCAGGGCUAACUAAGGCAACACAGCCAAGGGAGAAAUGUAGUCUAAGAGGAUAGCCAAGAAUAUCACCAUGGAAACAGUCUCCAAGAGCCAAGCAUAGAAGAUGAUCCAAAGGUAAAAGGGAGGUCCCAGGUCACUGAGGUGAGACACUCAGGAGAUUUGGUGGAGGCCAUUACCAGCUGGACUUCCCACCUUACAGGUAACACAUGUGAUGUCUAAGUUCAUCAACUUGGAUUUAAGUGACUGGGCCUACUUCAACUCUUCAUGACUGCAGAAGAAAGUAGGUGUUUUGUUCCUUAAAUUACUGUCUUUGAUAUCUGCUGAGCAGAGAGUUUAAU